UACGAAGGGGGCUAGCGUUGCUCGGAAUCACUGGGCGUAAAGCGCACGUAGGCGGAUUGCUAAGUCAGGUGUGAAAUCCUGGAGCUCAACUCCAGAACUGCCCUUGAUACUGGCGGUCUCGAGUCCGGGAGAGGUGAGUGGAACUGCGAGUGUAGAGGUGAAAUUCGUAGAUAUUCGCAAGAACAUCAGUGGCGAAGGCGGCUCACUGGCCCGGUACUGACGCUGAGGUGCGAAAGCGUGGGGAGCAAACAGG
rnacentral:rRNA from 1 species